CACGUAGGGUGCAAGCGUUGUCCGGAAUUAUUGGGCGUAAAGAGCUCGUAGGCGGUUUGUCGCGUCGAAUGUGAAAACCCGGGGCUCAACCCCGGGCCUGCAUUCGAUACGGGCAGACUAGAGUUCGGUAGGGGAGUCUGGAAUUCCUGGUGUAGCGGUGAAAUGCGCAGAUAUCAGGAGGAACACCGGUGGCGAAGGCGGGUCUCUGGGCAGUAACUGACGCUGAGGAGCGAAAGCGUGGGGAGCGAACAGG
rnacentral:rRNA from 1 species